rnacentral:rRNA from 1 species
CAGCCGCGGUAAUACAGAGGGUGCGAGCGUUGUUCGGAAUUAUUGGGCGUAAAGGGCGCGUAGGCGGUGCGGUAAGUCACCUGUGAAAUCUCCUGGCUCAACUGGGAGCUUGCAGGCGAAACUGCCGUGCUGGAGUGUGGGAGAGGUGCGUGGAAUUCCCGGUGUAGCGGUGAAAUGCGUAGAUAUUGGGAGGAACACCUGUGGCGAAAGCGGCGCACUGGACCACAACUGACGCUGAGGCGCGAAAGCUAGGGGAGCAAACAGGAUUAGAUACCCUGGUAGUCCUAGCCCUAAACUAUGGAUGCUUGGUGUGAUCGGUACCCAAUCCGGUCGUGCCGCAGCUAACGCGUUAA